GGGUUGUGAGGUUAAGCGACUAAGCGUACACGGUGGAUGCCCUGGCAGUCAGAGGCGAUGAAGGACGUGCUAAUCUGCGAUAAGCGCCGGUAAGGUGAUAUGAACCGUUAUAACCGGCGAUUUCCGAAUGGGGAAACCCAGUGUGAUUCGUCACACUAUCAUUAACUGAAUCCAUAGGUUAAUGAGGCGAACCGGGGGAACUGAAACAUCUAAGUACCCCGAGGAAAAGAAAUCAACCGAGAUUCCCCCAGUAGCGGCGAGCGAACGGGGAGGAGCCCAGAGCCUGAAUCAGCAUGUGUGUUAGUGGAAGCGUCUGGAAAGGCGCGCGAUACAGG
rnacentral:rRNA from 1 species